rnacentral:rRNA from 1 species
GAUGAACGCUGGCGGCGUGCUUAAUACAUGCAAGUCGAGCGAACAGACGCUGCUCUUGCGCCUCUGACGUUAGCGGCGGACGUGUGAGAAACACGUGUAUAACCUACCUGUAAUUCUGGUAUCAUUUCGGGAAACCGGAGCUAAUACCGGAGAAUCUAUUGAACCGCAUUGUGCGAUAGUAAAUUUCGGUUUUGCUGUAUCUAAUAGCUGGUUCCGCGCCGCAUUGGCUGGUAGGUAAGUUCACAGCUUAUCAAGGCAACGAGGCGUAGCCGAAUUGAGAGGGUGAUAGGCCACACUGGAACUGAGACACGGUCAUGGCUCCUACGGGAGGCAGCAGUAGGGAAUCUGACGCAGCAGGCGAAAGCCUGACGGAGCAACGCGACGUCAGAGAUAACGGCCUUCGGAGCGUAAAACUCUGUUAUUAGGGAAAAACAACUGUGUCAGUAAAUAUGCCCGUAUUGACGGUACCUAAUAAGAAAGCAACGGCUAACUACGUG